rnacentral:rRNA from 1 species
UACGGAGGGGGCAAGCGUUAUUCGGAAUUAUUGGGCGUAAAGGGCGCGUAGGCGGCUAGAUGUGUCAAAGGUGAAAUCCCUCGGCUCAACUGAGGAACUGCCUUUGAAACUGUCUGGCUUGAGGCCGGGAGAGGGUAGCGGAAUUCCCAGUGUAGCGGUGAAAUGCGCAGAUAUCAGGAGGAACACCGGUGGCGAAGGCGGGUCUCUGGGCCGAUACUGACGCUGAGGAGCGAAAGCGUGGGGAGCGAACAGG